CAUCCGAUAUCUAAAAAAUAGUGUUAAUUAAUCAAUUGGCCUUAUAAAUUUGAGCUGUUAUAUACCCUAUUAUGCAAGACUAUAACUAGAACAAAAUGACACUUUGAGUAGUUAAUUAAAAAAUAUUUUUUAAAUACUUAAACUCAUAAUUUUUGGUAAUCUAAGAUAUGGUACUAUGUUAUGCAACCGUGUGAUAGAUUUGAGUAACUUAAGCUAACAAGAAUC
rnacentral:lncRNA from 1 species